GUGCAGCCUUUUGCGAGGGAAGCCACCGAAGCUUUUCUUGGCGGGCCCCGCUGGUCUGCAGAGCAGGCGGCGUAAGGCGGAAAACCUCAUUUUUUUGCGGGGAAGAAGACGGCCGACGAGUACCCGACCCACUUACAUGAUUGAUGUUAAGACUGAUAAGGGCGUGCAUACAUGUCUUCUGACUGGUGGCCAGAGAUUGGAACUUGUGCCCAGACUCCUUCAAAUUGAUGCCAAAGCCAGUGUGAAGACUUUGCAGGAAGCAUUUCUCCAUUACAGAAAAGCAAGAUAAAAAUACUAAAAAAAUAAAUCAUUUGACAUGGACAAGCUUCCAAGGAUUGUUUGAUGUACAUAUUGCCAAAGUAAAGACUCCAGGACUAUUUAAGAAUUACAGGCCUAGAGACAGACCUCUUGAGUGAAAAUGCUGCUUCUUAUGUCUCAGUAUUGCUUGGCUGAAACAGCAGUGAUCAUUGGAAAUACAUUAUGUUAAGAAGGUCUGGAGACUAUCUGUUAUCAGAGAAUGGGACCAAAUCUGGGGUGGCCGGUGAAGUUUGAAAAUGGCCCAGAUUAGACUGUCAACAACGACAACAACAGAAAUGCAGAAAAUGUUCCCCAGUGAAUUGGGUGGAGGGGGAGAGAGACUUAGGUAGCUGCUCAAAAGAGUAGCCAAGUGCUUCUUUCUAAGUCAUCCUGCCUCCCAGUCACAUGACACAGAGCAAAAUACAGGUAGCCCAUCCUGUUCUUCCCAGUGAAUACAAAUACAUACCAAUGUAACACAGAUCCACUAUCUCUCCUUCACUAUUUCAGAUGCCAAGUGGUAUGAUAACAAGUGGUAAAGAGAUUGAAAAGAAUUCCAGGAAUCAUGCUGUCCAUGCUCUCCCUGUCCUAAUCUCUGCAAGUAUUUUAAUAACAGAUUUUGCGCAUCAUAAAUUAGGCAGAAGAUCAAUUACCAUAAUAAAGUAAUGGAAUAAUAUUUUGAAAGGCAAAACUGUUUGAAGUGGCCUGAUCCAAAGGAAUAUUAAAUUGAUGCUAUGAAAUCACGUACUAUAUGUAAUGACACGGCUGCACAGAUGUUCCUUCACAAGAAAAGUAAAAUGCUUGCUUUAAAAAAAAAUGAUGAAAA